rnacentral:rRNA from 1 species
UACGGAGGGUGCAAGCGUUGUCCGGAUUUAUUGGGUUUAAAGGGUGCGUAGGCGGUUUGUUAAGUCCGGGGUGAAAGCCCACUGCUCAACAGUGGAACUGCCCUGGAAACUGGCGAACUUGAGUACAGACGAGGGCGGCGGAAUGGAUGGUGUAGCGGUGAAAUGCAUAGAUACCAUCCAGAACCCCGAUUGCGUAGGCAGCUGACUAGGCUGGUACUGACACUGAGGCACGAAAGCGUGGGGAGCGAACAGG